AUCUAGCAACCACAGUCUAAACAAACAUGGCAGCCUCGAUGCGGUGCGUUCGUCUCCUUGGAGUCGUGCUUAGAUCUCGAUCGUCGAUUUUUGCGUCUUGCAAACCUUGUCAUGCGAUGAGUAUUACGUGGUCAAGAAAGAGCAGCUACGCCGUACAGUUCAAGGAAUUCGGAGAUCCGUGCAAAGUUUUGGAGCGCGUCGAAGAAGCCGUCCCCGACACACUGGGUGCCGACGAAAUCCUGGUCAAGAUCCUGGCAGCUCCGAUAAAUCCUUCAGACAUAAACACAAUACAAGGGACCUACGGAAUCAAGCCGAGCCUUCCCGCGAAAGCAGGACUCGAAGGCGUAGGGGAAGUCGUUAAGGUUGGGUCACAUGUUAAAAACUUGGAAGUGGGAAAUUGGGUGCUGCUGCCUGGUGAUUCCUGGGGGACAUGGAGAAAUUUUGGAAAGGGGGACCA
rnacentral:lncRNA from 1 species